GAUGAACGCUGGCGGCGUGCUUAACACAUGCAAGUCGAACGGAAAGGCCAGUGCUUGCACUGGUACUCGAGUGGCGAACGGGUGAGUAACACGUGGGUGAUCUGCCCUGUACUUCGGGAUAAGCUUGGGAAACUGGGUCUAAUACCGGAUAGGACAACUUUAUGGAUAUUGUUGUGGAAAGCUUUUGCGGUAUGGGAUGAGCUCGCGGCCUAUCAGCUUGUUGGUGGGGUAAUGGCCUACCAAGGCGUCGACGGGUAGCCGGCCUGAGAGGGUGUACGGCCACAUUGGGACUGAGAUACGGCCCAGACUCCUACGGGAGGCAGCAGUGGGGAAUAUUGCACAAUGGGCGCUAGCCUGAUGCAGCGACGCCGCGUGGGGGCUGAAGGCCUUCGGGUUGUAAACUCCUUUCGCUAGGUACGAAGCUUUUUUGUGACGGUACCUGGAGAAGAAGCACCGGCUAACUACGUG
rnacentral:rRNA from 1 species